AUGACGUCAAGUCCUCAUGGCCUUUAUGACCAGGGCUACACACGUACUACAAUGGCCGGUACAAAGGGCAGCCACUUAGCGAUAAGGAGCCAAUCCCGUAAAGCCGGUCUCAGUCCGGAUUGGAGUCUGCAACUCGACUCCAUGAAGUUGGAAUCGCUAGUAAUCGCAGAUCAGCACGCUGCGGUGAAUACGUUCCCGGGCCUU
rnacentral:rRNA from 1 species